GGGGAAGUUGGAAGCUUGUGAGAGAAGUUCGAUAAAAUUUGAGAAAGAGUACAGACUGGUCGAACCGAAACCCUUAAAUCGGGUUCGGGUGGAGGGACCGGUCUCUCCAAGGUUGGGACCGGUCCCAGAGCCAAAAAAAAUUUUAAUUUAAGUUCAAAUUUUCCAAAAAUUUUAUACGUUAUCCCAAAAUGUCCAACAUCAAAAAUAAUCAAUUUCCAUCCUCAAUGACCUCAAAUAAAAUUUCAUAAAUAAAUUUUGAAAAAUCAAUUUC
rnacentral:lncRNA from 1 species